UACGAAGGGGGCUAGCGUUGUUCGGAAUUACUGGGCGUAAAGCGCACGUAGGCGGACUAUUAAGUCAGGGGUGAAAUCCCGGGGCUCAACCCCGGAACUGCCUUUGAUACUGGUAGUCUCGAGUCCGGAAGAGGUGAGUGGAAUUCCGAGUGUAGAGGUGAAAUUCGUAGAUAUUCGGAGGAACAUCAGUGGCGAAGGCGGCUCACUGGUCCGGUACUGACGCUGAGGUGCGAAAGCGUGGGGAGCAAACAGG
rnacentral:rRNA from 1 species